rnacentral:rRNA from 1 species
UACAGAGGUCUCAAGCGUUGUUCGGAUUCAUUGGGCGUAAAGGGUGCGUAGGCGGCGCGGUAAGUCGGGUGUGAAAUCUCGGAGCUUAACUCCGAAACUGCAUUCGAUACUGCCGUGCUUGAGGACUGGAAAGGAGACUGGAAUUUACGGUGUAGCGGUGAAAUGCGUAGAUAUCGUAAGGAAGACCAGUGGCGAAGGCGGGUCUCUGGACAGUUCCUGACGCUGAGGCACGAAGGCCAGGGGAGCAAACGGG